rnacentral:rRNA from 1 species
UGGGGAAUAUUGGGGCAAAUGGGGCGAAAGCCUGACCCAGCAACGCCGCGUGAAGGAAGAAGGCCUUCGGUUGUAAACUUCUUCUAUCAGGGACGAAGGAAGUGACGGUACCUGAUGAAUAAGCCACGGCUAACUACGUGCCAGCAGCCGCGGUAAUACGUAGGUGGCAAGCGUUAUCCGGAUUUACUGGGUGUAAAGGGCGCGUAGGCGGGGAUGCAAGUCAGAUGUGAAAUCUAUGGGCUCAACCCAUAAACUGCAUUUGAAACUGUAUCUCUUGAGUGUCGGAGAGGUAGAUGGAAUUCCUAGUGUAGCGGUGAAAUGCGUA